CGCGGGGUAGAGAAGUGGUUAUCUCAUCAGGCUCAUAACCUGAAGACGGCCGUUCGAAUCGGCCCCCCGCAA
rnacentral:tRNA from 1 species